ACGAACGCUGGCGGCAUGCCUCACACAUGCAAGUCGAACGAGACCUUCGGGUCUAGUGGCGCACGGGUGCGUAACGCGUGGGAACCUGCCCUUAGGUUCGGAAUAACUCCCCGAAAGGGGUGCUAAUACCGGAUAAUGUCUUCGGACCAAAGAUUUAUCGCCUUUGGAUGGGCCCGCGUUGGAUUAGCUAGUUGGUAGGGUAAAAGCCUACCAAGGCGACGAUCCAUAGCUGGUCUGAGAGGAUGAUCAGCCACACUGGGACUGGGACACGGCCCAGACUCCUACGGGAGGCAGCAGUGGGGAAUAUUGGACAAUGGGCGAGAGCCUGAUCCAGCAAUGCCGCGUGAGUGAUGAAGGCCUUAGGGUUGUAAAGCUCUUUUACCCGGGAUGAUAAUGACAGUACCGGGAGAAUAAGCUCCGGCUAACUCCGUG
rnacentral:rRNA from 1 species